rnacentral:rRNA from 1 species
AUGAUGACUCUCGGCAACGGAUAUCUCGGCUCUCGCAUCGAUGAAGAACGUUGCGAAAUGCGAUACCUGGUGUGAAAUGUAGAAUCCCGCGAACCAUCGAGUCUUUUGAACGCAAGUUGCACCUGAGGCCAUCCGGCCGAGGGCACGCCUGCCUGGGCGUCACGC